rnacentral:rRNA from 1 species
CAGUAUCCACGGUAAUACGUAGGGGGCAAGCGUUAUCCGGAAUUACUGGGCGUAAAGGGCUCGCAGGCGGUUUCUUAAGUCUGAUGUGAAAGCCCCCGGCUCAACCGGGGAGGGUCAUUGGAAACUGGGAAACUUGAGUGCAGAAGAGGAGAGUGGAAUUCCACGUGUAGCGGUGAAAUGCGUAGAGAUGUGGAGGAACACCAGUGGCGAAGGCGACUCUCUGGUCUGUAACUGACGCUGAGGAGCGAAAGCGUGGGGAGCGAACAGGAUUAGAUACCCCUGUAGUCCCUGUCUCUUAUAC